GCACUUAUUCGGAUAAAAGUAGUUUUUCUAGUCGAAUUUGUGAAAAAAAUCAUGUUUGUUUACAUUUUUUUAUGUCAUUGAAAUGUCGAGAAGCAAUCUGCCUUUUGUUGUUUUGUAAUAACUAUGUACUUUUAAAACUGGAUAUUCUCACAUACUGAUCAUAAUGUUGAACCAUUUUGACAGACAGUUUUAUUUUGUCGUUAAUUUGUCUGUGUAAUUAUUUAAAUUAGAAUAUUUAUUGACCUUUCAUAUGUCUUCUCGAUUAAAUUUCUUUCACGAUCCGUUACCAGAGCUUUCACGAUCGUCUCUCAAUACUUGACCGCCGUUAGAUAUUCUUUCACGAUCAUUUCUCUCGUUAAACCGAAUGACACCCGUGUAGGU
rnacentral:lncRNA from 1 species